CCUACGGGUGGCAGCAGUGAGGAAUAUUGGUCAAUGGGCGUAAGCCUGAACCAGCCAAGUCGCGUGAGGGAUGAAGGUCCUAUGGAUCGUAAACCUCUUUUAUAAGGGAAUAAAGUGUGGGACGUGUCCUGUUUUGUAUGUACCUUAUGAAUAAGGAUCGGCUAACUCCGUGCCAGCAGCCGCGGUAAUACGGAGGAUCCGAGCGUUAUCCGGAUUUAUUGGGUUUAACGGGUGCGUAGGCGGCCUUUUAAGUCAGUGGUGAAAGUUUGUGGCUCAACCAUAGAAUUGCAAUUGAUACUGGGAGGCUUGAGUAUGGUUGAGGCAGGCGGAAUGCGUGGUGUAGCGGUGAAAUGCUUAGAUAUCACGAAGAACCCCGAUUGCGAAGGCAGCCUGCCAAGCCAUGACUGACGCUGAUGCACGAAAGCGUGGGGAUCAAACAGGAUUAGAUACCCUUGUAGUC
rnacentral:rRNA from 1 species